CCUACGGGCGGCUGCAGUGGGGAAUAUUGGACAAUGGGCGAAAGCCUGAUCCAGCCAUGCCGCGUGUGUGAAGAAGGCCUUCGGGUUGUAAAGCACUUUCAGUGGGGAAGAAAGCCUUGGGGCUAAUACCCUCGAGGAAGGACAUCACCCACAGAAGAAGCACCGGCUAACUCCGUGCCAGCAGCCGCGGUAAUACGGAGGGUGCGAGCGUUAAUCGGAAUUACUGGGCGUAAAGCGCGCGUAGGCGGUCUGAUAAGCCGGUUGUGAAAGCCCCGGGCUCAACCUGGGAACGGCAUCCGGAACUGUCAGGCUAGAGUGCAGGAGAGGAAGGUAGAAUUCGCGGUGUAGCGGUGAAAUGCGUAGAGAUCGGGAGGAAUACCAGUGGCGAAGGCGGCCUUCUGGACUGACACUGACGCUGAGGUGCGAAAGCGUGGGUAGCAAACAGGAUUAGAUACCCCAGUAGUC
rnacentral:rRNA from 1 species